AUUGAACGCUGGCGGUAGGCCUAACACAUGCAAGUCGAGCGGACGAGAGGAGCUUGCUCCUCGAUUCAGCGGCGGACGGGUGAGUAAUGCCUAGGAAUCUGCCUAGUAGUGGGGGACAACGUUUCGAAAGGAACGCUAAUACCGCAUACGUCCUACGGGAGAAAGUGGGGGAUCUUCGGACCUCACGCUAUUAGAUGAGCCUAGGUCGGAUUAGCUAGUUGGUAGGGUAAAGGCCUACCAAGGCGACGAUCCGUAACUGGUCUGAGAGGAUGAUCAGUCACACUGGAACUGAGACACGGUCAAGACUCCUACGGGAGGCAGCAGUGGGGAAUAUUGGACAAUGGGCGAAAGCCUGAUCCAGCCAUGCCGCGUGUGUGAAGAAGGCCUUCGGGUCGUAAAGCACUUUAAGUUGGGAGGAAGAGCUCAUAGCGAAUACCUGUGAGUUUUGACGUUACCAACAGAAUAAGCACCGGCUAACUUCGUGCCAGCAGCCGCCGUAA
rnacentral:rRNA from 1 species